rnacentral:rRNA from 1 species
GAGUUUGAUCCUGGCUCAGGAUGGACGCUGGCGGCGUGCCUAAUACAUGCAAGUCGAGCGAACGGACGAGAAGCUUGCUUCUCUGAUGUUAGCGGCGGACGGGUGAGUAACACGUGGAUAACCUACCUAUAAGACUGGGAUAACUUCGGGAAACCGGAGCUAAUACCGGAUAAUAUUUUGAACCGCAUGGUUCAAAAGUAAAAGACGGUCUUGCUGUCACUUAUAGAUGGAUCCGCGCUGCAUUAGCUAGUUGGUAAGGUAACGGCUUACCAAGGCAACGAUGCAUAGCCGACCUGAGAGGGUGAUCGGCCACACUGGAACUGAGACACGGUCCAGACUCCUACGGGAGGCAGCAGUAGGGAAUCUUCCGCAAUGGGCGAAAGCCUGACGGAGCAACGCCGCGUGAGUGAUGAAGGUCUUCGGAUCGUAAAACUCUGUUAUUAGGGAAGAACAUAUGUGUAAGUAACUGUGCACAUCUUGACGGUACCUAAUCAGAAAGCCACGGCUAACUACGUGCC